UAAGUUGGUAGUGAAAUAUUGCGGCUCAACCGCAAACCAUUACCAAACUGCUAAGCUAGAGAAUGAGAGAGGUCGCUGGAAUUUCUAGUGUAGGAGUGAAAUCCGUAGAUAUUAGAAGGAACACCGAUGGCGUAGGCAGGCGACUGGCUCAUUUCUGACACUAAGGCACGAAAGCGUGGGGAGCAAACCGGAUUAGAUACCCGGGUAGUCCACGCUGUAAACGAUGGAUGCUA
rnacentral:rRNA from 1 species